rnacentral:rRNA from 1 species
CCUACGGGGGGCUGCAGUAGGGAAUCUUCCACAAUGGGCGAAAGCCUGAUGGAGCAACGCCGCGUGGGUGAAGAAGGUCUUCGGAUCGUAAAACCCUGUUGUUAGAGAAGAAAGUGCGUGAGAGUAACUGUUCACGUUUCGACGGUAUCUAACCAGAAAGCCACGGCUAACUACGUGCCAGCAGCCGCGGUAAUACGUAGGUGGCAAGCGUUAUCCGGAUUUAUUGGGCGUAAAGGGAACGCAGGCGGUCUUUUAAGUCUGAUGUAAAAGCCUUCGGCUUAACCGGAGUAGUGCAUUGGAAACGGGGAGAGUUGAGUGCAGAAGAGGGGAGUGGAACUCAAGGUGUAGCGGUGA